AGAAUCAACGCUGGCGGCGUGCCUAACACAUGCAAGUCGCACGAGAAAGGGGAGCAAUCCCUGAGUAAAGUGGCGCACGGGUGAGUAACACGUGAAUCAUCUACCUCCGAGUGGGGAAUAACCUAGAGAAAUCUGGGCUAAUACCGCAUAACACUUACGAGUCAAAGCAGCAAUGCGCUUGGAGAGGAGUUCGCGGCCGAUUAGCUAGUUGGCGGGGUAAUGGCCCACCAAGGCGAUGAUCGGUAUCCGGCCUGAGAGGGCGCACGGACACACUGGAACUGAAACACGGUCCAGACUCCUACGGGAGGCAGCAGUGGGGAAUUUUGCGCAAUGGGGGAAACCCUGACGCAGCAACGCCGCGUGGAGGAUGAAAUAUCUUGGUAUGUAAACUCCUUUCGAUGGGGAAGAUUAUGACGGUACCCAUAGAAGAAGCCCCGGCUAACUUCGCGCCAGCAGCCGC
rnacentral:rRNA from 1 species